ensembl:lncRNA
UUUUGCAAGCCACUGUAAUUAGGGCUGGAUCAGGUGACCCUGAAUCCUCCCUUAGUUAUGCUGCAGUACAUGUAGGCUGCGGGGGGGGGAUUCCCAUGAUGUAUUUAGAAUUUCUUCUUCAGUCACCUUUCUCACUCACUAUGUGUUAACAGACCUCUCUGUAUUCAAACAUACUUGUUAUUAAUUAAAUUAUUUUUUUCUUAAACGGUCCAUUUUCUCAUUUUAACAACUCAUUUAUUUCUAUGUUCUAUUGUGAAGAAAAUGUGGGUUUAUGACAUUUGCACGUCAUUGCAGAGAGUGAUGAAGAAAAUGACUGGGUUAACUGGAUUCAGUUCAGUUCAUUUUUAUUUCAAACGUGUGCCUUCACAAUCAUUACAAAAUAUCAUUCCAUUAUUUGUUUGAAAAGGAGUAGGCAGAAGUAUUCACUUAUUUGUUCCUACCCUCUCAAUGGAUUCCGUUGAUGAGGAUGACUAGGCCAUUAUUACGCAUGGAAGAGUUUAGCAGAAAUGUUCAUGAGGUUGGCGUGAAACCUCUGUCCAAUAAACGUCCAUCUUUACUGUCUCAGAGGUUAGAAUAAGAUUCUCCAUCAACGUCAGGCUUCAGCUCCUCCACAAAGAGAAGACAAGUGUAAAGAGGCGAAUGGGGCAUUAUGAGGAAAAUCCAAGCCCAAGUUCAGGUCUCAGCUCUUUAAUAAGCAGUAAUACCAACAACAGUUACAGCCUCAGAGUCACAAACUGCUUCGCUUUUUGUUUGCCAUCACUGGAUUUCACUAAUUUAGUGAAUUUAUUAGUCUAGUUUUUAGUCCAAUCAUCAUUCUUUAAACUCACAAAAAUCUCCUUUACUGUUUAGUGUUUGUCACAAACAUGCCUGAUCAGCGACGUUUGCACCAGGUAUGACUCUCAUGAGGUAAAUAUUGGAUUAGCUCUUGGACAUUGGCAGUUUCCUGUGUAUCCUUCCCCAAUAAAUCCUGACCAUCAAACAUUUUAUUUCCUACAUUGUUUAAAAGACCGAUUUGUAGUUGGAAAUUUCUUUCUUUAAAGGAAAACAUCAAAAUAAAAACAAGCUGACAUUACUGGAAAAAAUGCAGUGAGGUUCUCAAAAAUUCAGAAUGACUUUUAAUUAUUCUAAUUUUUCUUCUGAUAAAUAUUCUUGACUUACCAGCACUCUUAUGUCUGUUUUUAUGUCUGUCUGACUGAAAGAUUUAUUGUAAAACGGGCUGAUUGAAUUCUGAUAUCUGGCUGAUUUGUUAUACAUCUUAAAAAGCUUUCUGGUGUAUCAGCAUUGUUAACGGAUACAGCUUGUCAGCUCAAUAUAAUACUUUCUAUAGGUUCUCUGUCAUGUGAUGCUGACUUUUUUUUUUCUUUAUGCAGUAGAAAUAGCCAACAUCUGCUGAUUUACUCCUCAACCUCUCUCUUCAUAAAAGGUCUGUAUAAAUGUUCUCUAACUAGGCUAAGAACUCUCUCCACCCAACAUGUCCCAUAUACUUGUGCAGGUGUGAGAGGACAGUUUGUUUGUACUACAAAUGGCAGGGAGAAAAACUUGCUUUCCACCUGGAGUCGUUCUGUGGUGAAGGUCAUUCUGCACAUGCAGCCUGCUCCAUUCUCUUGACAGUUUAUCUUGUGGUCUGUUACGACACAACUCUUUUCAAAUGUCCUACAUUCCUCAUCAGUUUAGGUCUUUAUGCUGCUCAUUUGCCAGCUCUACUCGCAAGUAAUCCGCUAGAUCCCCUUUUUGGACUGUUCUAGUUGUCACACACACACAAACAUAAACACAAACACAAACAAACAAAGACACGUACAAAAAAAAAAAACAACUUAUAAACACUUUUCUUCUGAUCACUCUAUCAAUAUGAUAUCAGUAAUUGUAAAAUACUGUAGUAAGUAUUGUAUUUUGUUUGUAAAAAGUAGGAUCAGUCAGAUUCUCUGUCCUGCCAGGUUGCCUCCGAAGAUGCGGCAAUUGAUCCUGAAAACAUCCUCCCGCUGGCGCCCUCUCCUGGGAGAUAAAACACUAUCCUACAAGCGCUGGAGACAGAGCCAGACACUGGAAACAGCCCCCCAACAGCAUAAAUGUCCCCUCCUCACCUGUCAGUCAUUCAAUAGGCCCACCCUGAGGUAAUACCUGAAACGAGUGAAGAAAGUCAACAGCCUAUUUAUGCAAGAUAAGUCAUAAUUUUAUUGUGUGGGGUGUAUUUUGGUUGGGUCUGAUUGUAAAGGAUGAAUCUAAACAGGCAUGAGUGAAGCUUUGUGAUAAAACACUGUUUGAGAUGAAAGGCGAUAGAUUGCUUUGGAUUUUCAGAUUUCAAGGACUGCCUGCCUGCCUUGCUCUGACUGAACACCACUAAAUUGUAGUGCAUACAGUACAAUAAAGUUUUAAAUGUUUGGAUUGUUAAUCUAAAUAUUACAUUAUGUGUCUGUUUGUUUGACAGUAGACAAAAAGAAGAAAAAUCUUAAUUAAGCUUGCUCUGUUGCACAAUGUAAUGGGCAGUCAGCUGCUGUUAGUGAUACUGAAGAGUAAGAAGCAUAUUAGUAAAUACAUUAAGAGUGAUCUACACAAUGCUCCAAAGUCGCACGUCAGGAGUGUUUCACUUUUUCAGUUUUCAAGCGCUCCAGAGAGGUCACGAGCAUUCUCCCUUUUUAGAUGACAUAACUGAGUGGUUAUGCAUGUCUAACACAAAAAGUCAAAAUUGGACAAAAGGAUAAUCCAUCCAUCCAUUUAUGGACACGUCUGCUGAGAAGAUGAUGUCUUACGAUAUUAUAUGAUACGUGAUUACUCUUAAAUUGAUUUCAAGAAGUGAUUUUUUUUAACUAUAUUUCCUACCUUCCCAAUUACAAAUAUUUACAAACUCAUUUGAAAAAAAAAGUGUCAAUGCUUUGUGAAAUCUAAAUAAAACAGAAUGCAAAUCAGGCAACUCUUAUUUAAAUAGGAAAAUUGAUAGUCUGUCCCAGUAAUAAUGAUUAUGGGCAGAACUUUGUGCUGUCAGAAACUGAAUUUGUAUAAGUUAAAUUCAAAUUUGAAUUGUUCAGAUUGAAUCUGAAUUGUAACUUGAAUAAAUGCUUUUUAGAACUGAAUUUGAAUUAGCCUAAUUUGAAGUUCAAUGUAUUGGUUUGAAAAUUAUCGUCACUAAAGUGAAAUUGAAUUUUAUAUUUUGAAAAUGAAUUCAUUUGCUUUAAAACUUUAUUUUAUCCUUUAAAAAUGUAGCUCUUGAAUAAUUUCAGUUUCACUUCUCACCAUUCAGUUUCAGUUCCUAAGUUCAGUUUUUUGGGAUGUACAUCCAGUUCCGGUUCCAGAGUAAUCGAAUAGAACUACGUUUUAGCGAGGUGUACAGAAGGCAUUGAUUAGAUGCCUGAACCACCUCUGUUAUAAUUUGGCGUGGACAGAGACACCACACAUGAAGACACAGUGGCGG